GGGCCCGCACAAGCAGCGGAGCAUGUGGUUUAAUUGGAUGCGACGCCAAGAACCUUACCAAGGCUUGACAUGGUCGGGAAAGCUGGAGAAAUUCAGCCCUCCUUCGGGACUCGAUCACAGGUGGUGCA
rnacentral:rRNA from 1 species